GCGAACAGAAGGGAGCUUGCUCCGGUAUGUUAGCGGACGGACGGGUUGAGUAACACGUGGGUAACCUGCCUGUAAGACUGGGAUAACUCCGGGAAACCGGAGCUAAUACCGGAUAGUUCCUUGAACCGCAUGGUUCAAGGAUGAAAGACGGUUUCGGCUGUCACUUACAGAUGGACCCGCGGCGCAUUAGCUAGUUGGUGGGGUAAUGGCUCACCAAGGCGACGAUGCGUAGCGACCUGAGAGGGUGAUCGGCCACACUGGGACUGAGACACGGCCCAGACUCCUACGGGAGGCAGCAGUAGGGAAUCUUCCGCAAUGGACGAAAGUCUGACGGAGCAACGCCGCGUGAGUAAUGAAGGUUUUCGGAUCGUAAAGCUCUGUUGUUAGGGAAGAACACAGUGCGAGAGUAACURCUCGCACCUUGACGGUACCUAACCAGAAAGCCACGGCUAACUACGUGCCAGCAGCCGCGGUAAUACGUAGGUGGCAAGCGUUGUCCGGAAUUAUUGGGCGUAAAGGGCUCGCAGGCGGUUUCUUAAGUCUGAUGUGAAAGCCCCCGGCUCAACCGGGGAGGGUCAUUGGAAACUGGGAAACUUGAGUGCAGAAGAGGAGAGUGGAAUAACACGUGUAGCGGUGAAAUGCGUAGAGAUGUGGAGGAACACCAGUGGCGAAGGCGACUCUCUGGUCUGUAACUAACGCUGGGGAGCGAAGGGGGGGGAGCGAACAGGAUUAG
rnacentral:rRNA from 1 species